rnacentral:tRNA from 1 species
AAAUAAGAAGCAAAAUUUUGCAGUUAGUUUCGACCUAAUCUUAGAUAAUUAUCCUUAUUUA